CCUCAGAUUUCUAUACGCAUUUGUAUUCUCUACAUGAAUGCGUAUAGAAAUCUGAGGCC
ensembl:miRNA mdo-mir-7318 mdo-mir-7318